rnacentral:tmRNA from 1 species
ACACCUGGCACAAUACAAACGCAAACUCUAACAGAGUGGGAACCAAGCUUGCUUGGCUCCCUUGCGAGCCAGUCUACAACUAAAAAGUUGUAGCCUCCUUUAGCCUUGCCUACGGGACUAAAAGGAGUCGCGAGUAGGAUAGUCCGCUAUUUUUAGCUUUUGGGAUAACGGAUGAAACUAAAAAAGCUUUUCUUUCUCAAAUCCCGUUUAUUGGAGUUGAGAAAGAGAACGGAAAAAGUAAACUAAACAUGUAGAGGCUUUUGCUGCGAGACCCGGAGACGCGAGUUCGACUCUCGCCACCUCCACUU